UGGGGAAUAUUGCACAAUGGGGGAAACCCUGAUGCAGCGACGCCGCUUGAACGAAGAAGGUAUUCGUAUCGUAAAGUUCUGUCCUAUGGGAAGAUAAUGACAGUACCAUAGAAGAAAGCUCCGGCUAAAUACGUGCUAGCAGCCGCGGUAAUACGUAUGGAGCGAGCGUUGUCCGGAAUUAUUGGGCGUAAAGGGUACGCAGGCGGUUUAAUAAGUCGAAUGUUAAAGAUCGGGGCUCAACCCCGCAAAGCAUUGGAAACUGAUAAACUUGAGUAGUGGAGAGGAAAGUGGAAUUCCUAGUGUAGUGGUGAAAUACGUAGAUAUUAGGAGGAAUACCAGUAGCGAAGGCGACUUUCUGGACACAAACUGACGCUGAGGUACGAAAACGUAGGGAGCAAACAGG
rnacentral:rRNA from 1 species